GUGGCCAUUGCCGCCGGUGGAGUGCGCCUGCCUGAAAUUCUUGUCUAUAUCUCCACGUUGCUUUGGCGGGUCGUCUUAGGACCGCUGGGGGUGCUGCCCCUGGCGUAUGCCCGCCAAAAGCCUCAAUUAAUCCGUGUCAAACGUGUUGUCUUAAGUGUCAAGGAAUAAAUACAAAACUUUCAACAACGGAUCUCUUGGUUCUGGCAUCGAUGAAGAACGCAGCGAAAUGCGAUAAGUAAUGCGAAUUGCAGAAUUCCGUGAGUCAUCGAAUCUUUGAACGCACAUUGCGCCCCCUGGUAUUCCGGAGGGCAUGCCUGUCCGAGCGUCAUUAGUCCAAUCUCAAGCCCAGCUUGUCGUUGGGUCUUACCGCCUAAGCGGUUGACCCGAAAGUUAAUGACGGGUCUCGUAAACCGUUGAUGCAGCGAGCUUUACAGCACGCAUCUCCGGACUUUCCGGGCCCGCCUCAACCAACAUCUUAGGUUGACCUCGGAUCAGACAGGGUUACCCGCUGAACUUAAGCAUAUCAAUAAGC
rnacentral:rRNA from 1 species